AGGGAUUGGUACGUUCCGGUUUGCUGCAGUCGAGGCCGUUGGGCAGCGGCGGGAGGGGAGGGAAGAUACCACUUCCACGAAAAAAGGGGAGGAGGGGAGAGAGGGGGGGUUGUUGUUUGAAGGCGCUGCCCCAAAAGCUCUGCCGAGCCGAUCGGCUUCCUCAGUGUAUUCCCAAGCGCGGUUCUCGCCUGGCUUCGUUGGGCCAGGGCGGUGCAGGAGGAGAUAGAAGGGAGGAAAGCCCUCCGAUCCCCCCCCGCCAGACGGAGCUGGUACGGUCCCGCGCGUCCACCUGCAAGGCAGCGGCGGGGAAGCCGGCGGUUCCACUGCUCGGCCGGGGGGGGGGGCGUCCGGAGGGCUUCCCCGGGGCGCUCCCGCUGCGCGAGCGGAGGCGCUCGUUUCCACUGAAAAGUUCCAUUUUUUAGAAGUUACAAUUCCAGAUUAGCCCGAAUUUCAGCGUCCUCCACGUCAAUCGCACACCUCGGGGAAAGCCGGUCGCUAACCCCCGGAGCCCGGCGCCGGGGCGGUGCGCGCUCCCCUCACAGCCCUCUGAGGGGCGGGGGACGGGUUGGGAGCCUGCUGCGGGUCAGCCCAGCCCGAUCGUACUUUAAAAUCCCUCUUAUAACCAAAUAUUCGAACUAGAUUCAUCAGAUGUAACUUAAAUUGAUUUAGACAGAUGUGGUGAGCUAAACCUCGGCUGUCCUGCCUGCACUGAGGGGAUCCCCAGUGGCUGUUGGGAGGCUCAGGCACGGGUGCUGGUGAGGGAGGUAUUUACUCCACAUAAGAAUCUCCUAAGUACCAGACAUGAGGAAAUACAACUCCAAGGUUGUUUGUAGGUGGAAGUAACACUGAAUCUUCAAAGGUGUGCAUUGCAUUUCACCUGCUAUGAAACACAGAUAUGUUUGUAGUAAGCCGGGCAACACGGUGAGUCAGAACAGGAAACAGAUGCAGCUGAAAAUCAAACGGACCAAAAGAAAAGAUUGUUUUUUUCAUCCAGAUCAGUUCCUGAUCCAACUCACUGUGCACUUGUACAGCCAGCACUGCACGAGAAAUGGCAAGGGCAAGAGUGACAGUGGGACCAUACCUUCUGGAAACAGCCCACACUUAAGUUCACUUAAAUUAAAGGUGAAAACAUUCGUGUUCAUUGUGAACUACUAUGGCAGUAUACGAAUUAGCAGAUAUUUUCAGCAGUCUUAGGUAUUACCUCUCUCUACAAACUUUGCCUGCUGUUUUACAGAAAGAUUACUGGUUAAAGACAGGAAAAAUCUGUCUUUCAAAGGAGCUGUAAUUCAUACCAAGACAGUAUUAUAUACUGUAACAUUCCAAUAUCUGUUUAUUGCAACUCUUUGUUCUACUGCCACAAGAGGUUUGUAUUAACUAUAUCCUAGAGAUUUGUCUAGAUUAGGAUUUAAAUGUUUGGGCAGACAUCAGAAUGUAUCAGGUAAUUCAUUUCAACUGUUAGAGUUGAGCAUAUACUUCAUGAACUAAAUAUUAAUGAGCAAAAUAAAUUUUAAAUAUAAAAGCUUAGAAGGAAAAUAUAUAUAAAAUCAAAACUGUCUGAAUACAUUUUUUCUUUGCCAGGUUUCAGUUCAGUUUUUACAGGGGCAUUACUUAAGCCAAAAACCCAAGGACCUACGACGUAACGCUGAUAGGGGAGCUUAAUACAGCAGUGUCAGCAAUCUUUGUAGAAGCAAAGUAAAACAAAUAACUCAAGGUUGGUACAACAGCAAAAGUCAUAAAAAGGUGGAUGUAAACAAAAGAGGUUUAAGGACUCCUGGGAAGGCUAGGAUGUAAAUUUUAAUAGAUAACUGCUUACUUUGUCUUUGAUUGUUUUCUUUGGUUUUCUAGGGUAAAGAGUGUUAAUAAUACUGUGUAGAAGUAAAAUCAGUCAUGUAAAUUAAAUAUGCACUUAUAAUGAAUAUAGUAAAACACAUCUGAUUAUCUAGAUGUCCUUUUAGUCCUGUGUCCUGAUGAAGGAAUUCCUUUAUUUUCAUAAGGACAUUCUAAAUAUUUAAAUUACAUCAUUAACAUCAACAGAAAACUAUUUUUGAUGUAGUUUCCUGCCAGUUUGCCUCCCUGAAUUGGUAGGAAUGCACCUACUGGGAUAGAGGUCUAUCGGUGGCAGUCAUCAGAUCAGACCAGCUAUAUCAGAUGAAGGAGAUUCAUCUCACCUGAGCUUGGACACCUACUGUGUAGCUUUCUGUACUGAAUGAGUUAACCUAGGCUGCUGCUUCUACCACCAGUGGAGAAACAGACAUUUCUAGAACGUCAUUCACAUGACCUAUUUUAGACGAGUACUUACGAUAAAAUGAUUUGUGUGCUGGACUCCAGUCGCUGUACUGCCUAGAUCUCCAAAUUGAUUAGGCUCGUUCUACUUAGAAUAUCUAUCUGUAAGGGAAGGUGGGCAGAGAAAAAAUAAACUAGAGGAGAAACUAUAAACUAGUCAGUGUAACUUCGAUUCCAAGACGGAUAAGAGGUAAAAAUACCCCCAUUUUAAGUAGCUAGAGGAAGGGAAGAUCACCGGUAACAGCCAACACAACCACUCUCAGUCACUUUAAUAACAGGUUAGAAGUCUUGUGGUAGGCAGAUGCUGCAUGAGUUAACAGGACUUUUGACACUAUCUUGCACGCCACUUUCCUAAGCAAGCCAGAUAGUCUAGAUGAAACUACUGCUAAAGGUCAGAACCAUACUCACAAGGAAGGUAGUAACGUUUUUUUAUCUAACUGGAAGGGUUUAAGAGAGGAUUCCACAGUGGUCUGUAUUCUGCCUAAUAUAAUUCACCGUUUUCACUGGGGACCUGAUGAAGGGAUAAUGAAUAUAUGCUUUCAGCAGUCAUGCAAAGAAAUGACCAGAGAAUGAAACUAAAUGUGAGACAGCACAAAUUCUUGGAAAAAAAACAUCACACUGUCUACAAAAGUGUUACAGAUAAGACAUGGAAAGUCUGUUCUACACAUCUGCUGGUUAGUUGCCAGCUGGGAUAUUGGAUUUGGUUUGGGGCAUUGAACUCAAGAAUCCAAAGAACUCUAGAGUCUGAAGAAAAGCAACAAUGAUCGUCUAGGAGUAGAGAAGACAUGGCCUCUAAAAAAAGACUUAACCUCCCCAAAAGAAGAGGACUGAAGGAAACUAAAGCCAUAGGUCCCAAAUGUAACAUGUUUUUGCAAGAAGGAAAGUGAUAAACUAUCUUCUGGGUCCCUGGGUUAUGGAAUAAGAAGUUACUUACUUAGCCAUUAGCAAGGAAGUCUUUGGUUGGAAUUUGGGAGAACUUUCUGAAUAUAACGGCAUCCUGGCUUGUAUCGGGAAUAGUGCAGCCAGCAGGACCAGGGAGGUGAU